GCCGCGGUAAUUCCAGCUCCAAUAGCGUAUAUUAAAGUUGUUGCAGUUAAAAAGCUCGUAGUUGGACCUGGGGUUCGGGUCGGCGGUUUGCCGCUUCGGCGGCUACUGCCGUGCUCGACUCUUACUAGCCGGUGCGUCUUGCGGUGCUCUUCAUCGAGUGCCGUAGGAGCCUGGCAUGUUUACUUUGAAAAAAUCAGAGUGCUCAAAGCAGGCGAUUCCGCCUGAAUAGUGUUGCAUGGAAUAAUGGAAUAGGACCUCGGUUCUAUUUUGUUGGUUUUCGGAACUUGAGGUAAUGAUUAAGAGGGACGGUCGGGGGCAUUCGUAUUUCGGUGUUGGAGGUGAAAUUCUUGGUUCGCUGAAAGACGGACAAAUGCGAAAGCAUCUGCCAAGAACGUCUCCAUUAAUCAAGAACGAAAGUCAGAGGUUCGAAGACGAUCAGACACCGUCCUAGUUCUGACCAUAAACGAUGCCAACUAGCGAUCCGCAGUGGUUGCUAUAAACGGACUCUGCGAGCAGCUUCCGGGAAACCAAAGUGUUUGGGUUCCGGGGGAAGUAUGGUUGCAAAGCUGAAACUUAAAGGAAUUGACGGAAGGGCACCACCAGGAGUGGAGCCUGCGGCUUAAUUUGACCCAACACGGGGAAACUCACCCGGUCCGGACACUGUAAGGAUUGACAGAUCGAGAGCUCUUUCUUGAUUCGGUGGAUGGUGGUGCAUGGCCGUUCUUAGUUGGUGGAGUGAUUUGUCUGGUUAAUUCCGAUAACGGACGAGACUCUAGCCUGCUAACUAGUUGCGCCGUGUUCAUACGCGGCUGUAGACUUCUUAGAGGGACAGGUGGCGUUUAGCCACACGAAAUUGAGUAAUAACAGGUCUGUGAUGCCCUUAGAUGUCCGGGGCCGCACGCGCGCUACACUGAAGGAGUCAGCGUGUGCUAUCCGGGCUCGGAAGAGUUCGGUAACCCGUUGAAACUCCUUCGUGCUUGGGAUUGUGGCUUGUAAUUAUCGCGCAUGAACGAGGAAUUCCCAGUAAGUGCAAGUCAUCAGCUUGCGCUGACUACGUCCCUGCCCUUUGUACACACCGCCCGUCGCUACUACCGAUUGAAUGGUUUAGCAAGGUACUCGGAUUGGUCUCGAUCUUGUACGAAAGUGCGGAAUCUGUGGCCGAGAAGAAGGCCAAACUUGAUCAUUUAGAGGAAGUAAA
rnacentral:rRNA from 1 species